rnacentral:rRNA from 1 species
UACGGAGGGGACUAGCGUUGUUCGGAAUUACUGGGCGUAAAGCGCACGUAGGCGGAUUUGUAAGUCAGGGUGAAAUCCCGGGGCUCAACCUCGGAACUGCCUUUGAUACUGCAAAUCUCGAGUCCGGAAGAGGUGAGUGGAAUUCCUAGUGUAGAGGUGAAAUUCGUAGAUAUUAGGAAGAACACCAGUGGCGAAGGCGGCUAGC